UUUUUUGUUUUUUGUUUGUUUGCUUUUGGUUUUUUGAGGUUCUCUGUAGCCUAGGCUAGCUUUGAACUUACAACACUCCUGCCUCAGUCUCCUUAUAGUUGGGAUUACAGGCACUAUGCCUGUAUGUGAAAAUAGAUUUCUUGUGGCUUGUGACAUUGGAAUAACACUUUUUGGGUGCAACAGAAAACAUUAGUUUCAUACAUAGUAACAAAUGACAGGCCACAAAAAUGGUGGGGAAACCUGAAGACACUCUGCUGUAUUUUACUACUGACAGUAAUGUGGAAGAUUAAGUAUGAGAUGUGGACAGUUUGGACAAAGGAACAUACCUUCAUUUUCCCUGAUUUCAAAUGACUGCUUUUGGACCUUGGGCACUGCAGCUGUAUCUUGAAGUAGGUUGUCAUCUGCAUUCCCCUCCAUAGGUGGAAGCAUGUAUUGACUUCCUACAGAGGUGCCAUUACCAGUAGCCGCAUGAGCCAGGGUCAUUCCUCUUGCUAGUGGGGAGCUUGUCAUUUUAAAGAGAUGGGCACAGGUGGCUAUGUGUCAGUUAAGAGUUAGGUUGAAAUCCUGUGCAAGAUGGUGUGGGUGUAGAAGAUUACAGAAAGCAGAGAUUGCUUAUCUGGGUCUCAUGCAUACAAAGCAGUAGUCCCAGGAGGCCGCAUCUUGGGAUUUCCAUCGUUUUCUGUCUUUCUACGUGCAAAGCCUUAGGAGGGCACUAACUCAAAUUGGAACAGCAACAUGUACACUGUGCAAAGCAAUUUUUAAAGAAUUUGAAAGCCUGCUGAGCAAAAUCAGAAAACCCUUAGCCCCACUGAAUUCCUAAAUAAAAAAGCAAACUAAUAAUUCAGUCAAGUUAAUGCUUUCCUUUGUCGUUCAACCACCUGAUUCUAUGUUUUAGCACCUGUGUAUGUUCAGUUCAUUGAACUGAUUUAUAGACAUGUUUUUGUUUAACACAUAUAGCCCAGUUAGACUUUAGCACCUAUCUGACCGGCUUUAUUGAUUGCUUUGUGCUUGCUUUGGGUGUGGUUGGACCAACCUGUAUUCCCUCAAAUUUGGGGCUAGACAAACACUCCAUUUUAUUUGAUUUCAAAUAGGUUAGAAAUUUGUAGAACAAGUUGCUUGUUAUAUGAAGUUUUAAAAGAGUAUUGUAUGUACUUACAUUAAUAUUGAAUGUGUUUACUCAGUCUUUUCUUAAAACUUCUAUGCUGCUAAACAUCUUCAUUUUUAAGGACUGCUGGUAAAUGUGGAUUUGAGAGAAUGGUCUGAUUACUCACUUUGUAUUUAAUUAUAUCUAAAUGCCAUAUAUCUUGUAAUAUGUGACAGUUCUGCUUUUGACAUAUUUCUCCAGUCCACUAUAAGGACAGUCUUACCACAUCUGUGGCCCUUGAUUCCUUUGAAAGUUUCUGACCACCCCACCUGCUACUUUGUGAGCAGCCUGCCUUGUGUUACAUAAAUUAGUCAACUCUUAUUAAAGAUUUUGCAGUAAUUACUCUGCUUUUCCCCACC
rnacentral:lncRNA from 1 species